CCAGGGGUGGUUCGGCUGGUAGAACAUGAGACUCUUAAUCUCAGAGUCGGGGAUUCAAGCUCUGCCCCACCUUGGG